rnacentral:rRNA from 1 species
CCCUUAGAUGUUCUGGGCCGCACGCGUGCUACACUGAGUGGAUCAGCGGGUCAGGUUGCGCGAAAGCGUUUCCUAAUCUUUAAAUCCGCUCGUGAUGGGGAUUGACGGUUGCAAUUUUCUGUCAUGAACGAGGAAUACCUUGUAAGCGCGGGUCAUCAUCCCGCGCUGAAUACGUCCCUGCCCUUUGUACACACCGCCCGUCGCUCCUACCGAUUGAGUGGUCCGGUGAGGCUUAGGGAUCUGAGCGGAAAGAGCGUUUCGCUGUUUCUGCUCGGAAAACUCAGUCGAACCUUAUCAUUUAGAGGAAGGAGAAGUCGUAACA